AUGUAUGUGAAGGAAAAAACAUAGUAUAUAUUGGGUUUGGUACUAUCUGUGGUUUCAGGCAUCCACUGGAUGUCUUGGAACAUAUCCACCGUGGAGAAGGGGGGACUACUAUACCUACAACAG